rnacentral:lncRNA from 1 species
UGAGUAGGGUGUUGGGUCGACCUCUGGUUCAGCUGCUGAGUUGCUGGCUGCAACAAGAUUCCUGCAGAUGAUGAUUCCUAAUGGUCAUUACUACCAGCUUUAGCCUUAGAGAGUACUAAGUUAGGGCAGGCAUGUCAUAUCCAUUAUCAUCGUCACCCAUCCUAUUAAACCGAAAGACAUCAUUAUUUGCAUAUUACAGAGGAACAUGAAUGAAAUAUAUGUUGCAAUUUACGUUGGCAACAAAAUCGGGGAGUGGCUGAUGGUCACCCUCGUUCUUGAUGCAAGAUAUCAUGAGUUGUAUCUUCUUACCCUGACCUGGAAGCUGUAUGUCUUACCAAACCAUAUCUGCAAUGAAUGGAGGUGGCUACAAACCUAUAAGCUAUUCAUUAGAUCGCAGACAUUAUCUAUUAUUCCAACUUAAUCAAAAAUCUAAGAAAGCAUAACUGAUAGAGUAAAACGCAGACGGUAUCGAUAUUAAUUUUAUUAGGAAAUUUACCUUCUACAAUCUUAGGAUUGAUGUUAGUCCCGACAACAACUCUUGGAUCACCUCCAAAGCCGUCCAGUUUGU